rnacentral:rRNA from 1 species
UACGGGGGGGAGCAAGCGUUGUUCGGAUUUACUGGGCGUAAAGGGCGCGUAGGCGGCGUGACAAGUCACUUGUGAAAUCUCCGGGCUUAACUCGGAACGGUCAAGUGAUACUGUCGGACUAGAGUACAGAAGGGGCAACUGGAAUUCCCGGUGUAGUGGUGAUAUGCGUAGAUAUCGGGAGGAACACCUGUGGCGAAGGCGGCACUCUGGGCCGGAACUGACGCUGAGGAGCGAAAAGCGUGGGGAGCAAACAGG